ACGCACGCUGGCGGCGUGCUUCACCCAUGCAAGUCGCACGGAAAGGCCCUGCUUUUGUGGGGUGCUCGAGUGGCGAACGGGUGAGUAACACGUGAGUAACCUGCCCUUGACUUUGGGAUAACUUCAGGAAACUGGGGCUAAUACCGGAUAGGAGCUCCUGCUGCAUGGUGGGGGUUGGAAAGUUUCGGCGGUUGGGGAUGGACUCGCGGCUUAUCAGCUUGUUGGUGGGGUAGUGGCUUACCAAGGCUUUGACGGGUAGCCGGCCUGAGAGGGUGACCGGCCACAUUGGGACUGAGAUACGGCCCAGACUCCUACGGGAGGCAGCAGUGGGGAAUAUUGCACAAUGGGCGGAAGCCUGAUGCAGCAACGCCGCGUGCGGGAUGACGGCCUUCGGGCUGUAAACCGCUUUCGCCUGUGACGAAGCGUGAGUGACGGUAAUGGGUAAAGAAGCACCGGCUAACUACGUG
rnacentral:rRNA from 1 species